UACGUAGGGAGCAAGCGUUGUCCGGAAUCAUUGGGCGUAAAGCGCGCGUAGGUGGCUUCGUAAGUCCGUUGUGAAAGUCAAAGGCUCAACCUUUGAAAGCCGAUGGAUACUGUGAAGCUAGAGUACGGAAGAGGCGAGUGGAAUUCCUGGUGUAGCGGUGGAAUGCGCAGAUAUCAGGAGGAACACCAAUAGCGAAGGCAGCUCGCUAGGACGUUACUGACACUGAGGCGCGAAAGCGUGGGGAGCGAACAGG
rnacentral:rRNA from 1 species